rnacentral:rRNA from 1 species
UGGGGAAUAUUGGACAAUGGGGGCAACCCUGAUCCAGCGACGCCGCGUGUGUGAAGAAGGCCUGCGGGUUGUAAAGCACUUUUAGUGGGGAUGAAAAGCUCAGGGUUAACACCUCUGGGUCUUGACCUAACCCACAGAAAAAGCACCGGCUAACUCUGUGCCAGCAGCCGCGGUAAUACAGAGGGUGCAAGCGUUAAUCGGAAUUACUGGGCGUAAAGCGUGCGUAGACGGUUACAUAAGUCGGGUGUGAAAGCCCCGGGCUCAACCUGGGAAUUGCAUUCGAGACUGCGUAGCUUGGGUGCGGAAGAGGGAAGCGGAAUUUCCGGUGUAGCGGUGAAAUGCGUAGAUAUCGGAAGGAACACCAGUGGCGAAAGCGGCUUCCUGGUCCAGCACCGACGUUCAGGCACGAAAGCGUGGGGAGCAAACAGG